CAAAUUCACCCGUACCCUCCGGAAAUCACGUCCGGACGCUGCGGGAAUCGGUGUAAAUCCCGGCAAAUUGCCCACUACGCCCAUACAAACAAAUAUACAUGUCGAAACUCGGAGCUCGCUUCAAGUCCUCGACUUUCGCUGUACGCAGGCAUUACAUCAUCUCGCGCAUCUGGCGCUUUAACACCGUUGGAGUCCUGCACUUCUUCGGUACUGAAACAACCACCAAGGUGGUUAAGGAAUUUUCGGCUCCUCAGCCGAUAGUCCCUCUACGGAAAUCCUGUUUUGCGUUUUCUGUUCGCGCUGCUGUUCGCGCGAUUAAAGCUGCCGGACGUCCCAUUGACCGUCCGCGCUCUGGAUGCCUCUGUGGCCUCCCUGUUAUCGACACAUCUGGUGUCGUACGUGCCUCUGUCGCGGGCAUUUGGAGGUAUUCUCUGUGUAAACCUCCCCUUACUGCCGCCGCCAAGAAGUCCAUUGCCAAGGCGAAGAAAGAUUCUGCUUUCUUUCUUAGCCGGGCUUCUUCACUCUUCUCACGGGAAGUCCCCUGCGGCACGCGUCAUAGACUUCGUAGGCGCGUUAUGAAACGAGUAGACCCUACCAUGCACGAGAGUCCCCAAGACGAGAUCAAACUUAAGGGACGCCGACAUGGCAAGAAUUCUUACCUCCCGUAUAUGGGGGAAGCGGCGUUGGAUGAUAUCCUUCGCUGGAUUGAGGGGGUAAAUCCCCCGCCGUCGAUGGUCGCCAUUCCGGUGCCCAUCUCUUUCGGCGCCGUGCCCACAACGGCAUGGUGCUCUCCUGCUGACGCGGCUGUUUUGCGGUGUCGUUUAGACUACCACGCCGCUGAGACUUCCUUUCGUGACGAAAGGAAGCACGUGAGAUACGUCUAUAAUGACGUGUCUUCUGCUGCCAACCGUCCUCGUACGGUUUCUGCCAAGAGCGGGCAUGUUUUCAGCGGUUCUGCGCUGGGUGUUGAGGUCCCGAGCACUAGGGAUCGCCAUACCGCUUUCGUGAGAUCUACUCACGGUAGCGUUUUCUUCUCCCGGAGUUCGCCGGUUCGCAUGUUCCGUCCUGGGCGGAAUAAUUUCUUCACUAGCGUCGUUAGUGGGCGGCGCGUUAGUUACUUUAGACCCGGACCUAAUGGUACGGUGUCUGUUUUAAUGUCGGACGGUGUCAACACGGCGCGUCUCGACGUUGUGCCUCCUGGCUACCAUGCGUACGCUAAAGCGUUAGGCGCCAAAGUGCCGUGUUUGUGGGAGUCGUCCGAUUUGGACGAUGCUAAGAUACGUGACGGCCAGUGCUACGUUCGUCACGUAUACGACGUGGCCCUUUACUUCGGAAGGCGCGUCGAUCUUUCUGUGCGCCGAACUUUGGGUUUGUUUCCCACAGUGGGUGCACUAAAAGCUUAUCUUCUUCGCGAGUACGGUCGCAACUCUUUGAAGGUUCCGAUGCGCGGGACUUACACUUUUGGCAGUGUGUUUCAUUGCCUGUCGACUAAAUCUUUUGUCGACUUGAGAUCUAUUCCUAACCAUCACUUGGUUGGUGGUGCGUCUGCUCACGUGUUUAUUGGGCAGAUUCGUGUUGACGUUCCUGGUGGUGUCUCUAAGCCAUCACGAGCAGCUGCGCAGGCGAAUAGGCGUUUGCGUGAAGACGGGUUUUUAGGUAGUACCGAUUCGUCUUCUUCAGGAGGGUCGAGAUACUGUUCGGAUUGUUCAACUCCUCGCAGUCCACCCUCUCCGUCGAUUGUUGGACCAACUCUUGGCCGGAUACCAAGUAUAAACCGGAAGUUCCGGUUUCCAGCAGGCACUCAGUUGAGUGUUUCUAUCCCUAAACGCAAUGAUGAUCGCGUGUAUGUAUCGGUCGGCCAAGACUUUGAUGAGUUGUGCCAUGCCGUGUGUACCUACGUUAAGAGGUACAACUCGAGAAAAGCAUUUUACACGCGGUUUGAAAAUCGUGAUGAUUUCGCCGUCAUUGCUGCGGCUUCCGUCGGAGGUCUUCACGUGUUCGUGAAACGCGGUAACUUUACGGCUCGGUUCCCUAUGUCGGCUUCAAGGUAUGAGCAUCAUUAUGAUCGAAGUAUGAAAGGCGCCGGUUUGUCGUGGGUGCGGAAGAGUCGGUUUCCGAAUGUUGAAGUUAUACGCCGUCGAAGGAGUCGGACGGGCGGUUCUUUGGCUAGCUUUCCGGACGCGAAUUUACGGAUUAAUUCUGACCAACCGUCGGAUUCUGUUCAGGCAGUUCCGGUGUCAGGUGAGAAUUCUCCAUCGUCUCGAGGAGCGUCUUCGCCCCGACGUGAUCCUGUUGAAGGGUCGGGCUGGUAUAAGGUGGGUUCUCCUAGUCAUCACUCGAGUGCCGCUCGUGGGCAACGUUCCACUGAACGUGGGAAGAUUGGGGAUUUCAGUUUUCCGAGUAGCACCGUGUAUAAUGCACAUGUAGACGAGCGUGCUUAUAAGCGUGUGUUGAAAUUGCGGGACACGUCGGCGUCCUCUUUUCUUCGUAUAGUUUUGGCUCGUUUGUCGAGUUAUCGGCCUCUUAGUGACGAGUUCUUUAACAAGUGCGUUACUUCUCGGUUCGUAGCUUGUAUCGAGGCGGUUGAAUCGGGUCUCGUUACAGUACACUUUCGAUCCGACGUGUUUCGCGCCUCGUUCCCGUUUGGAGUUUAUUUGUAUACUCGUCACGCGUUUGAUAUUUACAGUGGUAAGCUCCUGCAACUAGAUAGCUACGGGUUCUCGGAAGACCUGAAGGACGGUUACUGCUAUAUUCGUCAUAUCGCUGAGGUCUGUUUGAGUAUGGGAAAAGUUUUCUUUAGGAGGGACGUCAACUUAGGGGCGUUCCCUUAUGUUUUCGAGGUACAGCACCGUCUUGAGCGGUUGUACGGUAAGCGGGCUGUUGAAUACGGCGUUAGAGGAUAUUUUUCAGCAACGCGUCUUUACCACUGUUGCUUUACCGAUUCGCCGAGACCCUUCAAAUCUUUAAAUAAGUGUCAUAAGAUGGGUGGUGAAGAAGGUGCGUUAUUAAUCACUGACACUGAUAGAUUACGUGCCGUGGGGAGUGCUUACGAAAAGGUGAAGGGGCGUUUGCCUGAUUCUUUACUUGUUCGAUCGGUGGAGAAAGAUUUGAUAGAAUUCAAUCAAACUCUGGUUGAUACGCAACGGGCUAGACCUGGUGUUGCAGUACCUUUUCAGAUGAGUGAGAACCAACAGGUGAUGCUCACUAGAGCUUAUCCUGAGUUUAAUAUAAACUUUACUCAUUCCGUACACUCCGAUCACCCCGUGGCAGCGGGUUCUAGAAUGUUAGAGAAUCACCUUGUUCGUAAAUACGCAGGUAGCGAUUAUUCGAACGUAGGUGGUUGCCCAUUAUUUCAUUUACGUGCGGGUCAUACAGGAGUUCACGUUUGCAGACCAGUGUACGAUAUUAAAGACGCCCACCGUAGAGUCGUUCGUCAUCAUCAACUUAGUAAAGUAGCUUUUGAUCACACUGACGGGUCUAAGCAGGAAGGUGCUGUCAAUACGAACACCGUGUGUGGUAACGUUUUAGGGGAGUGUUUUCAUGCGUCUGAUGCGAUUGUUAUGGUGCAAGUUUAUGACGUGCCAUUGCGAGAGUUGUGUAGAGCUAUGGUGAACAAGAAAGCUUCGGUGUGCUAUAUGACCGUGGUUACGCCUGGUGAGCUGUUGGACGCCCGUGAGUCCUUCUUCAUCAAAGAGUUAGACUGUUCGGUGGAGUUGGACCGGUCGCCGAAUAGGGUUAUCUACUGUUUUAACAAUUCACGGUAUACGCAUACCUAUUCUACGAUAUGCGAAUACAUGCGUACUCCUUGUGUGGUGGUGGAUGGUUUUCUGUUCACUAUAGAGAUGGUUUCACUCAGAUGCAGCGUUAACUAUUAUUGUAUCACCAAGUCGCGGGUUUGUCCGAGAAUCAGCGAGAUUAAACGGUUACGCUAUCGUCGGUGUGAUAGUGACUUGAUCAGGAUCAAGAUUCCUCGGUACUCUAAUAAGACUCGUAGUUGUUUACCAGGGGGUUAUUAUUUGUAUUUAGACGCUAAGUUGCGUUCUCCGGAGGAAACUCCGGAACAUUAUAAGUUCGGUAUGACUGCUAAGGCAAUGUUACCGAACAUCAACGCUAUAGACGUUGGUGAUAACGAAGACACUUCGUCGGAAUACCCAGUGAGUCUGAGUGAAACAGGCGGAGUUCUCCGUGAACACCACUUCAUCUGAUUGAAGUGGACGGAAUAAUUGCCUUGCGGAACUUUAUGUCGGGUUGGUAAAAACCCUUAUGAUGGUGAUGUAUCACUAGACAAUAACCGGAUGGGUAAAGUCUUUAAAAUGAUCGAGGGGAAAAUUAACCAUAUCCUCUCGUUGGUCUAAGCUCCCACAGAGUGUAGUGGUCUCAAGUGAGGCUUAACGUAUGCGUGAACCAAAGAAGUUCUCCUUAGAGUGUGUGUUGUUUACCCAACACACUGUCCCUAUGGGGGGCCAACAUAGGUCCAU
rnacentral:misc_RNA from 1 species